rnacentral:rRNA from 1 species
AUGCUCGCCUACAAGCUGAUUCUACCGCCGGACAGCCGCAUCCACAACGUCUUCCACGUCUCCCAGUUGAAGCCCUACACACCAAACUACACACCGGUCUUCGCGGAGCUGCCCAAGCCACCGGAUCUGUCCCUGACUGAGACGGCGCCAGUGGAGAUCCUGGACAGGCGCAUGGUCAAGAGCGGCAAUGCCGCCUUGGUGCAAGUCCAUGUGCGCUAGUCGACGUCUUCACCAUCGGCCACGAUGUGGGAAGACUACAACACCCUCAAGCUUCGUUUCCCAGCAGCGGAAAUAUGGCGGGAAGCGGCCGGAGCGCCAGGUGACGCUCCUUCUGAUGGAGGGGGAGAUGUCACACCUGCACCUACAAGUGCCACGGUGGACUAG